rnacentral:rRNA from 1 species
GACGAACGCUGGCGGCGUGCUUAACACAUGCAAGUCGAACGGAAAGGCCCUGCUUGCAGGGUACUCGAGUGGCGAACGGGUGAGUAACACGUGGGUGAUCUGCCCUGCACUUCGGGAUAAGCUUGGGAAUCUGGGUCUAAUACCGGAUAGGAACCAUCUUUAGUGUGGUGGUUGGAAAGUUUUUUCGGUGUAGGAUGAGCUCGCGGCCUAUCAGCUUGUUGGUGGGGUAAUGGCCUACCAAGGCGGCGACGGGUAGCCGGCCUGAGAGGGUGUACGGCCACAUUGGGACUGAGAUACGGCCCAGACUCCUACGGGAGGCAGCAGUGGGGAAUAUUGCACAAUGGGCGCAAGCCUGAUGCAGCGACGCCGCGUGGGGGAUGAAGGCCUUCGGGUUGUAAACUCCUUUCGCUAGGGACGAAGCUUUUUGUGACGGUACCUAGAUAAGAAGCACCGGCUAACUACGUG